rnacentral:rRNA from 1 species
UACCAGCACCCCGAGUGGUCGGGACGUUUAUUGGGCCUAAAGCAUCCGUAGCCGGUUCUACAAGUCUUCCGUUAAAUCCAACUGCUUAACAGGUGGGCUGCGGAAGAUACUAUAGAGCUAGGAGGCGGGGAGAGGCAAGCGGUACUCGAUGGGUAGGGGUAAAAUCCGUUGAUCCAUUGAAGACCACCAGUGGCGAAGGCGGCUUGCCAGAACGCGCUCGACGGUGAGGGAUGAAAGCUGGGGGAGCAACCGG